GAUGAACGCUGGCGGCGUGCCUAACACAUGCAAGUCGAACGGAGUCCAGCCUUAGAGACCUUCGGGUCAAAGAGGGGAAGACUGAGUGGCGGACGGGUGAGUAACACGUGGGCAACCUGGCUCAUAGAGGGGGAUAACAGAGAGAAAUUUCUGCUAAUACCGCAUAAGCACACACUGCCGCAUGGCAGAGUGUGAAAAGAGAAUCGCUAUGAGAUGGACCCGCGUCUGAUUAGCCAGGUGGCAGGGUAAGAGCCUACCAAAGCGACGAUCAGUAGCCGAUUUGAGAGGAUGAACGGCCACAUUGGGACUGAGACACGGCCCAAACUCCUACGGGAGGCAGCAGUGGGGGAUAUUGCACAAUGGGGGGAACCCUGAUGCAGCGACGCCGCGUGAGUGAAGAAGUAUUUCGGUAUGUAAAGCUCUAUCAGCAGGGAAGAUAAUGACAGUACCUGAAUAAGAAGCCCCGGCUAACUACGUG
rnacentral:rRNA from 1 species